UUCUGCGGUUCCUGACGUGAGGAGAACUUUAAAUGCCACAAAUGAAAACCCGAAAGAGACCAGGAUGCUGAAACGCUCCCUUACCAUAUUCGGAAAUGUGAUUUUUGCCCUCGGCUCUGUGGGGUCCCAGCAUGUGCCAUACAGAGAAUCCAAACUAACCCGAGCACUUAGGGACUGGUGAGCAUCAUCAACAUCCGCAUCAUUAUUUCUCCACGUUUUUCAACAUCUGUGUAAAUUCUGAGUUUGAUGUUUAUUUUGAUAUCUGGUUUAGUUUAGGCGGGAACUGCCGGACAUGUUUAGUGGUCACAGUGUCAUCUCAAACAUCUUUAAUAUCUGAAACUCUCAGCUCUCUACAGUUUGCGUCCAGAGCCAUGGCUGUUCCUUCACGACCCAUAUACACAUCUCAGUUACAUUACACACUUGAACAGGUAUACACACUCUUAACAGGAACAUUUUCAUACUGAAAACACAUACUUUCAGAAUAUAUAAAAUAUGCAUCACACUUCAACAAAUGCACAUACAGGCUUCACAGAUAGAUCACAUUCCUACAUGUAAUUCACCUCACCAGAAAAACACCAGAAAACUGACUAUUGUCCUAUAAUAAAUGUCUUUGUACUAAUAUUUGCUAACAGAUUUAACACUUUUUUCACUUAAAAUUUUUUAGGUGAUCUAUUCCUUUAAAUAUAUAAGUGAUAUUUUUCCAGUGACCACUUUACACUUACAUAUCAUAACCACAUGCACAAUACUGGUGAAAUCUUACACACGUCACCCUUAUCUAACUUUUUUAUAAAAUCAGCUUGUUGAUAAAUUCUCAUUCAGUAAUCUCACAAAAAUGUUCUAUCCAUGUGCAUAUCUGAAUGGGAAGAAGCACAUGAAUCAUCUGAACAGACAGCAGAUUUUGCAACCGGUUGGAACUGACAGAAAGUCACAGACAUGCAUGCUUCCCAUUCUUUUGAGUUCAGUCAGUCCCACUGAACCUAAACUCAGCUCAAGUCACUGUGGAGAUGGGCCGGAGCUCAGAACUUUUCUCCCCCAGCUGGAGAAACCAGCCCAAACCGAACCACCUGGGCAUUACAGCCGUGGAUCUCGACCUGGAGAGGAGAAAAACAGAGCUGAUGGUGUGUUUGCAAACAGAAGCAGAGGGUCUGAGAUCAGAGCUGAAUGCCUGUUGUGA
ensembl:lncRNA